GUUUGAUCAUGGCUCAGGACGAACGCUGGCGGCGUGCUUAACACAUGCAAGUCGAACGAGGUUCAAGCGUUACGAUAACGUGGAAAACCUAGUGGCGAACGGGUGAGUAACACGCUCGAGGAACCUACCCCGGACUCAGGGAUAACAGACGGAAACAUCUGCUAAUACCUGAUGCCGUCGGAGCAUCACAUGGUGCACUGACGAAAGAAUCUCGGUUCGGGAGGGCCUCGCGGCUAUCAGCUUGUUGGCGGGGUAACGGCCUACCAAGGCAUCGACGGGUAGCUGGUCUGAGAGGAUGAUCAGCCACACUGGGACUGAGACACGGCCCAGACUCCUACGGGAGGCAGCAGUGGGGAAUCUUGCGCAAUGGGCGAAACUGACGCAGCAACGCCGCGUGCGGAAGAAGGCCUAGGGUUGUAAACCGCUUUCAGUAGGAACGAAAAUGACGGUACCUGCAGAAGAAGGUGCGGCCAACUACGUGCCAGCAGCCGCGUGACACGUAGGCACCAAGCGUUGUCCGGAUUUAUUGGGCGUAAAGAGCUCGUAGGCGGUUCAGUAAAGUCGGGUGUGAAAACUCUGGGCUCAAACCCAGAGCCGCCACUCGAUACUGCUGUGACUUGAGUUCGGUAGGGGAC
rnacentral:rRNA from 1 species